rnacentral:rRNA from 1 species
AUGCGCGCCGGGCCGAGAGGGUGGAGGCUAAGCAACGGGGGAGUGCCCGUUCCCCCAUUGCCUGACGCCGUGGCGCCCCCCUACUUCGCCGCCGAGGUAGAGCUCGUGCGCGCCUCCCUCAUCGACGAGCAGCUCGCCCUCCCCCAGUAUGCCGCCAACAACCACGCGGUCUGGGCGGCGUACUUCGAGCGCCGUCAGGAGCAGAGGCUGGCGUCCACCAACGGGGCGCCGGUGGUGGGCGGCACGAAGAACAGCGAGGGGCGCCGCGUGUGGUGGGGCGUCCCCGGCCGCACGCUCGAGGGCGUGCUGGCGCACGUUGUGGGCGGCAACGACCCGUCGCUGGCAUACCCUCCCCCGGCGGCCGCCCCGGCCCACCGCCGACGCGUCGGGCAAUGGAUGCCCAGGAGGUUCGGAGCCUCCUCGCACUCCUCCUCACGGUAUUUUUCCCACUCCUCCGGCUCUCCUGCGCUGAUCGGCGUCAAGGCCGAGCCCGCGGCGAAGACGCCGCUCGGCCGGCGCACUUGCAGCGCCGGCAUCGUCAUCAACGAGGGCGGCCAACGCCUUCUCGACGGCUCCUCCGUGCUUCGUCAAGCCAAAAAGGGAGCCGGGGUUCGCGCCGGUGAAAACAGAGCCGGGGCUCCCCGCCGUGAAGACGGAGCACGGCGACAUGGAGCUCGACGACGAGGCGGCCCUGAAAUGGGCGCACAAGGACUUCCUGAAGAUGGGGAGGGAGCGCCAGUGCGCCGCACUGCGGCGCUCCGAGCAGCGCCGCCGGGGCCGCGACGAAGGCGGAGUCAUCGUCCUCGACGACAGCGACGACGACGACGCGCCGCUGCCGCCGCCACCAGUCCGCCAUGGUGA